rnacentral:rRNA from 1 species
CCUACGGGAGGCAGCAGUGGGGAAUAUUGCACAAUGGGGGAAACCCUGAUGCAGCGACGCCGCGUGAGUGAAGAAGUCAUUCGUUAUGUAAAGCUCUAUCAGCAGGGAAGAAAAUGACGGUACCUGAGUAAGAAUCCCCGGCUAACUACGUUCCAGCAGCCGCGGUAAUACGUAGGGGGCAAGCGUUAUCCGGAUUUACUGGGUGUAACGGGAGCGUAGACGGCAGUGCAAGUCUGGAGUGAAAGGCGGGGGCUCAACCCCCGGACUGCUCUGGAAACUGUACGGCUGGAGUGCAGGAGAGGUAAGUGGAAUUCCUAGUGUAGCGGUGAAAUGCGUAGAUAUUAGGAGGAACACCAGUGGCGAAGGCGGCUUACUGGACUGUAACUGACGUUGAGGCUCGAAAGCGUGGGGAGCAAACAGGAUUAGAUACCCGAGUAGUC